CAUGCAAGUCGAGCGGUAGCACAAGAGAGCUUGCUCUCUGGGUGACGAGCGGCGGACGGGUGAGUAAUGUCUGGGAAACUGCCUGAUGGAGGGGGAUAACUACUGGAAACGGUAGCUAAUACCGCAUAACGUCUUCGGACCAAAGUGGGGGACCUUCGGGCCUCACGCCAUCAGAUGUGCCCAGAUGGGAUUAGCUAGUAGGUGGGGUAAUGGCUCACCUAGGCGACGAUCCCUAGCUGGUCUGAGAGGAUGACCAGCCACACUGGAACUGAGACACGGUCCAGACUCCUACGGGAGGCAGCAGUGGGGAAUAUUGCACAAUGGGCGCAAGCCUGAUGCAGCCAUGCCGCGUGUGUGAAGAAGGCCUUCGGGUUGUAAAGCACUUUCAGCGAGGAGGAAGGGUUCAGUGUUAAUAGCACUGUUCAUUGACGUUACUCGCAGAAGAAGCACCGGCUAACUCCGUGCCAGCAGCCGCGGUAAUACGGAGGGUGCAAGCGUUAAUCGGAAUUACUGGGCGUAAAGCGCACGCAGGCGGUUUGUUAAGUCAGAUGUGAAAUCCCCGCGCUUAACGUGGGAACUGCAUUUGAAACUGGCAAGCUAGAGUCUUGUAGAGGGGGGUAGAAUUCCAGGUGUAGCGGUGAAAUGCGUAGAGAUCUGGAGGAAUACCGGUGGCGAAGGCGGCCCCCUGGACAAAGACUGACGCUCAGGUGCGAAAGCGUGGGGAGCAAACAGGAUUAGAUACCCUGGUAGUCCACGCUGUAAACGAUGUCGACUUGGAGGUUGUGCCCUUGAGGCGUGGCUUCCGGAGCUAACGCGUUAAGUCGACCGCCUGGGGAGUACGGCCGCAAGGUUAAAACUCAAAUGAAUUGACGGGGGCCCGCACAAGCGGUGGAGCAUGUGGUUUAAUUCGAUGCAACGCGAAGAACCUUACCUACUCUUGACAUCCACAGAAUUCGGCAGAGAUGCCUUAGUGCCUUCGGGAACUGUGAGACAGGUGCUGCAUGGCUGUCGUCAGCUCGUGUUGUGAAAUGUUGGGUUAAGUCCCGCAACGAAGCGCAACCCUUAUCCUUUGUUGCCACCACGUAAUGGUGGGAACUCAAAGGAAA
rnacentral:rRNA from 1 species